rnacentral:lncRNA from 1 species
GUCAGUGUGAAGGGAAGGCUAAGGACGCAUCGGUGCUGGAGAGUUGAGAAUAUGCCUUCCCCUCCACCCCCAACCCAGUCACCUUAUUUGAAAAAAAAUUAAAAAACACCUUUUAUUUAAAAACCUAACCCUGGAAGUUUGCUCGGAGAGAUGUGAAAUGACCUGUCCCGUGAGAGCUCUAGGUCCUGUUCCUCUUUGUUUCUCUCCAGCCACCCCAGCAGAGUUUCUCCUGUUUGGCAGUCAACACGUGUGCAGCUCAUCUGUUGUUGGCUGCCUGAAAAUCAUAUGCGUGGUUUUUCCUGUUUCCUGCUCUGUAGCUGACAUCAGGGGAGCAACGUGAACACAGGAAAAUGGAAAUCAACAUUUGAAACUUUUAAAUGGAAGCUUUAUUGGGGUUCCACAUAUGGAAAACUGCAAAUAGCAGAAGUAUGUGACUCAAUAAAUUAUUCUGGAGUGACCACAUCCUCUAACUGCCUCCCAGGACAAGACGGAGAAUGUGAACAAUGCUCCUGAAGGCCCCUUUCCCUCAAAGAAUCACUGCAAUUGAAGGAAAAAUGCUCCAUGUCCCCUCUGCCAGUUGGUGUUUAUCAAAGGACAACGGAGGAAGAGAGACAAAGUGCCUGGAUGUGUGUGUUAAUCAAGAGUUGUCAGGACCCUGCCUCUAAAAGAAAGCGCUAAAAUGAUGCUUUUGACAAGACUUUUCUCAAAGUGGAUGCAGUCUAAGGGUUGGAAAACAAGGCCCAAUCAGGCUAGGUCUGACUUGUCGCCUGCUUUUGUAAAUAAAGUUUUAUUGGCUCACAGACACA